UUUCAUAUGCGUACUGACACUCCACUAGAGUGCAGUGCUACGGCCACUUGUCUUCACGUCAGUCUGCUCUUCUAAAGGUUCACGAAAGGACGUCAGCAUGGUGAAAUGUGCUUUUAGAACUUGUGGAAACAUACAGAAGAAAUUGACAAAAGAAAGUGUCCACCGCUUCCCUGUGAAGAACGAGGAACUAUAUAAACUUUGGUUACUCUCUGCUGGAUAUGUCAUUCACACACCGGUGGAAAAAGGACUAAAAUGGCGAAUUUGCAGCAAGCAUUUCGCAACAACCGAUAUCAGGAAAACAUUUUGUGGCUAUUCUCUCCUGAAACCUAAUGCUGUGCCUUCGACUGCCCAAACAGCUUCAAAAUCUUCUGAUAAACAGGUAAGAUCUGCUGUACCACAGUCCACGCCAGUGAAGGAUACCACAUCAACAUCAGGCCAGCCGAGGACAAUUCAACAAUCAUCACGAGUGACCUGGAGGUAUACCACAGUGCGAUGCUGAAGUACACCCAAAAGAGGCUCCACUUUGUCUAUAACUCCAUGAAGGCAAGGACACUGAUGUCUGUUAUGGACCACAAUGAAAAUGUCAGGCGCCAGCAACAGAGGAGCGCUUACUCAUACGUCAUGGACCAAAUUGAAAUCUGUCAACAUUUGUCCCAUUACAAUUGCACUCUACCUUUCUUAUCGUGUACAUAUCUCUAUCAAAUUUACUCUAUUAGGCACUUUGAAAUACAGCUUGGAGUUUCCAAAGCAAACAAAAAGAUGGGUUGCCCGGAGCUGUUACGAGCCAACAACGCAGACAUUCAGAGAGAAUUUGGUGGAGCGUGUCCUGGAAAGACGGCAGGAUUCAUCAUUAAAGUUUGCUGAGCCAGACUUCUAUUUCAAGCCUCCAACUACUACUGUAUUCCACCGAACAUUGUAAACAUCGAAAGGCCUGACAAAGAAAAAGUUAUUUUACAACAUGUCAGUCGCUUUAAAAAAUAAGCAGGCAGACAUUUUCCUUUUUUUUUUUUAAUAGAUAUUUUAUAAUGUAGAUAUUUUUGAAUGUACGACAAUAAAAUAAAAUAAAAAAACACACACACAUAUUGUAUAAUUUGUGAAAUGUGAAGGUUUAAAAGAUAAAACGUUUC